UACGUAGGUGGCAAGCGUUGUCCGGAUUUACUGGGCGUAAAGGGCGUGCAGGCGGUUUGUUUAGUCUAGGGUGAAAGCUCCCGGCUUAACUGGGAGAGGUCCUUGGAUACUGGCAAACUUGAGGGAGGCAGAGGAAAGUGGAAUUCCCGGUGUAGUGGUGAUAUGCGUAGAUAUUGGGAGGAACACCAGUGGCGAAGGCGGCCACCUGGACCGGUUCUGACGCUGAGGCGCGAAAGCGUGGGGAGCAAACAGG
rnacentral:rRNA from 1 species